rnacentral:rRNA from 1 species
GAGUUUGAUCGUGGCUCAGAACAAACGCUGGCGGCGUGCCUAAUACAUGCAAGUCGAACGAGGAAAGCUUUCGGGUGAGUACUAGUGGCGCACGGGUGAGGAAUAUAUGGGUAAUCUGCCCUCGAGUCGGGGAUAACCAGUCGAAAGAUUGGCUAAUACCGGAUAAGACCACAGGAUCUGCGGAUCUAGGGGUUAAAGGUUUUCGCUUGAGGAUGAGCCCAUAUGGGAUUAGCUAGUUGGUAGGGUAAUGGCCUACCAAGGCUACGAUCCCUAACUGGUCUUAGAGGAUGAUCAGUCACACUGGAACUGAGACACGGCCCAGACUCCUACGGGAGGCAGCAGUGGGGAAUAUUGGACAAUGGGCGCAAGCCUGAUCCAGCCAUGCCGCGUGAGUGAUGAAGGCCUUAGGGUUGUAAAGCUCUUUUACCAGGGAAGAUAAUGACGGUACCUGGAGAAUAAGCCCCGGCUAACUUCGUGCCAGCCGCCGCAGU